rnacentral:misc_RNA from 1 species
AAAAAAUCCAAGAGGCUUACAACAAAAAUUGCAACUUUAAGUGAAUUGAUUGUUCAAUGAGACAUAGCAACCUUGUCAAUUUGUUUAAGGUACAUGGCUCCUUCUACAUAAUCUUAUAUCUAUUGAGCAUAUAUCAAUUGAAUUCCUUCACUUUCUCUCUCUCUCUCACACACCCAUUCAUUUCCCUAAUAAAACAAAGGGAAAAGUUUUAAAAAAUGCUUUGUAAUUUUACACUUUGACAUAUGAGAGAUUAUAAUUUAAUUUUAUCAAUUUAAUACUUGUGUUUUUCUUCAUUAAUAAAUAUGAUCUAAAUCAUUAUUUACCGUUACAUGAUGCUGACGUGGUGAACACGUAACACUGAUGUGGUGAACACUAGACGCCAUGUAUUCAACACAUAAAUGCCACAUGAUGCCAUAUAAGUACCAUGUAUGCCAUGUGUCACCACGUCAGUACAACAUGUUCAUUACGUGAGCGUCAUUUAACAGUAACUAACAAUUUUGACAACAAUUGAUAAAGGAGGAAAACGUAGGAUAUCAAAUUGACAAAAUUAAAUCACAACCUCUUACGUGUUGAAGCAUGAAAAUACAUUAAUUUUUUUUGUGUAUUUAUCCCUAAAACAAUAUAAUGAAGGAUAAAACUAGAGAGAGAAGCUAAAAUCCUUUGGCUGGUUGCUUAAGAGUUCCUUUAGCAUUAAAGUUGGAGAGCUAAAACUCCUUUAUAGAAAGAAAAAAAAUAUAUUUUAAAUACUAUUAAAAAAAACAAUUUGAAAAAAAAAACUAUUUUAUUAAUUUAAUAUUCUUAUAACUAAAACUUAU